GAUGAACGCUGGCGGCGUGCCUAAUACAUGCAAGUCGAGCGAAUGAAUUAAGAGCUUGCUCUUAUGAAGUUAGCGGCGGACGGGUGAGUAACACGUGGGUAACCUGCCCAUAAGACUGGGAUAACUCCGGGAAACCGGGGCUAAUACCGGAUAACAUUUUGAACCGCAUGGUUCGAAAUUGAAAGGCGGCUUCGGCUGUCACUUAUGGAUGGACCCGCGUCGCAUUAGCUAGUUGGUGAGGUAACGGCUCAACAAGGCAACGAUGCGUAGCCGACCUGAGAGGGUGGUCGGCCACACUGGGACUGAGACACGGCCCAGACUCCGACGGGAGGCAGCAGUAGGGAAUCUUCCGCAAUGGACGAAAGUCUGAUGGAGCAACGCCGCGUGAGUGAUGAAGGCUCUCGGGUCGUAAAACUCUGUUGUUAGGGAAGAACAAGUGCUAGUUGAAUAAGCUGACACCUUGACGGUACCUAACCAGAAAGCCACGGCUAACUACGUGCCAGCCGCCGCCGUAA
rnacentral:rRNA from 1 species